rnacentral:tRNA from 1 species
GGCAGCAUGGCACAGUGGUUUGAAUGUUGGGCUGCAACUCUGGAGACCAGGAUUCAAUUCCCUGCUCAGCCA